AUGGCGACCGGCGCACGGGUGAGUAACACGUAUCCAACCUGCCGAUGACUCGGGAUAGCCUUUCGAAAGAAAGAUUAAUACCCGAUGGCAUAGUUCUUCCGCAUGGUAGAACUAUUAAAGAAUUUCGGUCAUCGAUGGGGAUGCGUUCCAUUAGCUUGUUGGCGGGGUAACGGCCCACCAAGGCAUCGAUGGAUAGGGGUUCUGAGAGGAAGGUCCCCCACAUUGGAACUGAGACACGGUCCAAACUCCUACGGAAGGCAGCAG
rnacentral:rRNA from 1 species